rnacentral:rRNA from 1 species
GUGCCAGCAGCCGCGGUAAUACCAGCUCCAUUAGCGUAUAUUAACGUUGUUGCAGUUAAAAGCUCGUAGUUGGAUUUCUGACAUAACUGACCUGGCCCGGCGUCUUAAAACUGGACGUUGUGUGCCGGUGUUUUCUGAUCCCUCCGGUCUAGCCUCGGAGUCUCAGCCCUUGCGCGCCGUGGGCUGCUUACUGCGUGCCUCUCUUUUGAGGGUGCUGCGGUCGCCUGCGGUCCUGCGCUUGGGUGUUGUGGCACCUUGGCUCCAGGGGGAUUGUCAGUUGGUCAUCCUUGAGGUAAGACGCUCUGCCUUUCGUUAGGUCGGAGCGUGGCACCUCAUCGUUUACUUUGAAAAAAUUUAGAGUGUUUAAGGCAGGCUUACGCCAUGAAUAGGUUAGCAUGGAAUAAUAAGAAUAGGACUUCGGCACCGCUGGUGAUUGCCGGUUGGGCGGGCCGGCCUGUGGAUGCCUCUGCUUGCAUGCGUCUCGGGUCGUGCUCUUUAGCCUGCUGGAUCAAACAGUCGUCGGUCUCUAUUUUGUUGGUUUUCUAGAGCUUGAAGUAAUGAUUGAUAGGGGUAGUUGGGGGGUGCUAGUAUUGCGGGGCCAGAGGUGAAAUUCUCGGAUUCUCGCAAGACUAACUUAUGCGAAAGCAUUCACCAAGGAUGUCUUUCUUUUUUAAUUCAGAACGAAGGUUUGGGGGGAUUCGAGACGAUCAGAUACCGUCGUAGUCUCAACCAUAAACUAUGCCGACUAGGAUUGGGCGUCGUUGAUGAUGACUCGCUCAGCACCUUAUUUGAGGAAUCAUAAGUCUUUGGGUUCCGGGGGAGUAUGGUCGCAA